rnacentral:lncRNA from 1 species
GUCUGACUAGAAUAACUGUUUCUUAUUUAUUCUUAUUUUCUGAAGGUUGCUUGAAAAGUGAAAAGUUUAUUCCAAUUCUUAUGCUUGCUUUAUAUACUAACCUAUCGCCAAGUAUAUACCUAAAACUAGCCUUGCCUUGUAAAAAGUUAUCUGGAAAGUGAAAAGCUUAUUCUAAGUCUUAUACCUCUUUUAUUCCCGAACCUAUCACCAAGCAUACAUGUCUAAAACUAGCCC